rnacentral:rRNA from 1 species
CACUCCUGCGGGAGGCAGCAGUGGGGAAUAUUGCACAAUGGGCGCAAGCCUGAUGCAGCGACGCCGCGUGGGGGAUGAAGGCCUUCGGGUUGUAAACUCCUUUCGCUAGGGACGAAGCUUUUUUGUGACGGUACCUAGAUAAGAAGCACCGGCUAACUACGUGCCAGCAGCCGCGGUAAUACGUAGGGUGCGAGCGUUGUCCGGAAUUACUGGGCGUAAAGGGCUCGUAGGUGGUUUGUCGCGUCGUCUGUGAAAUUCUGGGGCUUAACUCCGGGCGUGCAGGCGAUACGGGCAUAACUUGAGUGCUGUAGGGGUAACUGGAAUUCCUGGUGUAGCGGUGAAAUGCGCAGAUAUCAGGAGGAACACCGAUGGCGAAGGCAGGUUACUGGGCAGUUACUGACGCUGAGGAGCGAAAGCAUGGGUAGCGAACAGGAUUAGAAACCCCAGUAGUCCCAUGAU